CGUAUCCCUGGUCCUUUGGGGAUCGAUCCACUCGUUGACGUCGACGCGACCCCGCGCAAGGACGCGCUCGAUCGUGUCGAUGUCUUGCUCGCCAAUGGCACGCAAAAGCGCAGCCAUGUCUUCACUGCGGCCUGGCGGACAGUCCGUGUCGCGCAGACCGACCAAAGCGCGGGGUUGUGACGCUUGUGCCUGCACAAUUGACUGCGGUCCUGAUGGCGCCAUCAGAGGACUCCUCGGCGGCCUUGCUGCAUUCUCGGCAGCGGCGCCAAAGGGCGCUGGACGGCCAGACUGCGCUGGGACGAGGCUCGCGGUCGGCGUCGGUCUGGACCUCGUGAAUCGGCCCAAAGACGGCGCCUGCUGGAUCUGACCGCGCUGCAGUGCAGACGGGACUGGUGCCAGGCGUGCAGUUGGACCGGCCUGCGCCUGGACGAAUCGGUUUGGGGGUAGUGCUCGCAUGGCCGGCGCCCUAGGUUGCACGGGUGCGAGACGCGUGGCCGCUUGCAAUCGUGAAAAUCGGCCCACUGGCGGCGCCUGGACAGGCAAAGGCUGCCUAGGACCUCCCGCGACUGUAGGCGGCGGAAGGCGUGCGGCUGGGGCCGCCUGCGGUCUCGCCAACGGACCCAAGAUUUGCCUUCUGGCCAGGGGGAGUGCACGGCGGUUCGGUUCCAUCGUCUCGGCGUGCCGUGUCUGCCUCUCUCACUUGCCCAUGGGCGGCCCCAGUGGCGCAUCACCCGGCGACAACAAUGGCUGUGGCGGUAUGCAUCGAUCACAGUGAUUGUGACCGAGCCGCCUGCAGCCACGAGUGCAUGCGUCUCGACCCUCUUCCCCCCAGCCCGCCGGUCCUCACCUUUUUGCCCAUCGCCGAGAAACACCGCCACCUUGAGCGCCCUUGUUAAAUGAAAAAACCAAAAAAGGCGCGUAAGGAGCAAUUUGGAAAAAAAAUAACAACGUGGCAGCAUCUAGACAUGCGCAAACCCAAAGGACACACGCGCCCCUCACGCGGCAGCGCAAGAUUCGCAAAGGCAGGCCUCUGUCGACAAUCGCAACCCGGCAGAAUAAAAAGGAAAAAUA
rnacentral:lncRNA from 1 species